ACAGGCACCCGCCACCACGCCCGGCUAAUUUUUUUUUUUUGUAUUUUUAGUAGAGACGGGGUUUCACCAUGGUCUCGAUCUCCUGACCUCGUGAUCCGCCCGCCUCGGCCUCCCAAAGUGCUGGGAUUACAAGCGUGAGCCACCACGCCCAGCCGCCUAUCUCUAACUUUCUUUUUUCCUCCAAAGAUUAAUGUUUCUGGUGAUUUGGAAAAUAGAUACAACUUUCCAAGCUCUGAGCCCAGAGCGAAACAUAGUGUGAAGAUCAGAGCUGCAGACGUCCGCAUCCUGAAUUGGAGUUCCUGGAGUGAAGCCACUGAAUUUGGCUCUGACGGCAGAAACCUCAGCUCUGUGUGCAUUUACAUGCUCCUGAUCAUGGGAACCCUUGUCUGUGGCCUCAUCCUUGGCUUCCUCUUUAAAAGGUUCCUUAGGAUACAGCAACUGUUCCCACCAGUUCCACAGAUCAAAGACAAACUGAAUGAUAACCAUGAGGUGGAAGACGAGAUCAUCUGGGAGGAAUUCACCCCAGAGGAAGGGAAAGACUACCGCGAAGAAGUCUUGACGGUGAAGGAAAUUACCUGAGACCCAGAGGGUGUAGGAAUGGCAUGGACAUCUCCGCCUCCGCGACACUGGGGAAUUGUUUUCUUGUUGAUGAUGCCGUGAGCUUUUUUGUCAUUUUCUAUGUUUUUAUUUAAAAACAUGAUAUUUGGGGCCAGGCACGGUGGCUCACGCCUGUAAUCCCAGCACUUUUGGGAGGCCAAGGCGGGCAGAUCACCUGAGGUCAGGAGUUCAUGACCAGCCUGCCCAACAUGGUGAAACCCCAUCUGGACUAAAAAUGCAGAAAUUUACCCAGACGCGGUGGCGGACGUCCAUCAUCCCAGCUACUCGUGAGGCUGAGGCAGGAGAAUUGCUUGAACCUGUGAGGCGGAGGUUGCAGCGAGCCGAGAUUGCGCCAUUGCACACCAACCUAGGUGACAGAGCAAGAUUGCAUCUCAAAACAAAUAAUAAUAAUAAAUAAUAAAUAAUAAAAACCUGAUAUUUGGCUGGGCGCCGUGGCUCAUGCCUGUAAUCCUAACACUUUGGAGGAUUGCUUGAGACAGGAGUUUAAGACCAGCCUGGGCAACAUAGCAAGAUCCCAUCUCUACAAAAAAUGCAAAAAUUAGUUGGGCAUAGUGGCUUGUGCCUGUAGUCCCAGCUAUCUGGGAGGCUGAGGUGGGAGGAUCACUUGAGUUCAAGCUGACAGUAAGCUAUGAUUGCACCCCUGCACUCCAGCCUGGGUAACAAACUAAGACCCCAUCUCUCUGUCUCAAAAAAAGUGAUAUUUCGCAAAGAUGCUUAGACUCCAAGAAGCUUUUGCAUCUUCUUCCAACCCAACCACUGAGGCACUGUCUAGCCUCCUCCUUAAAUAACUGACCUGGUGAGCUGAGAUUGCAUCAUUGCAAUCCAGCCUGGGCCACAAGAGCAAAACUCCAUCUCAUCUAAAAAAAGAAAAAAAAAAAAUCAUGGCCGGGCACGGUGGCUCAUGCCUGUAAUCCCAGCACUUUGGGAGGCCGAGGCAGGCAGAUCACAAGGUCAGGAGAUUGAGAGCAUCCUGACUAACAUGGUGAAACCCCAUCUCUACUAAAAAUACAAAAAAUUAGCCGGGUUUGGUAGCAGGCGCCUGUAGUCCCAGCUACUUGGGAGGCUGAGGCAGGAGAAUGGCGUGAACCCAGGAGGCGGAGGUUGCAGUGAGCCUAGAUCACACCACCACA